rnacentral:lncRNA from 12 species
CAUAUAAUGCUUGCUCAAUAAGUGUGCAUUUUUAUUAUAGCUGCACUAAAGAGACAUCCCACCCCAUUGUUGAGCAGUUCAUUCAUCCAUUAGUACACAAAUCGAUUAGUUAGCUCAGCCAAUAUGUACUGAGCAUCUGUGUGUGCAUUAGGUUCCAGGUAUAUGAAUAUGGUGGUAAGACAAUUCACAUUUCCCAGGGAGAAUUUGUAUCAUAGAAGAGAACUGUCAGAGAGAUUACCUAAGGCAUUAUUAUCUCAUGUGCUUGCUGGAGCCAUCAGCAUAGGUACUUAGGGUAGGGUUUUGAGAUAGGACCCAGGAUGGUUUAGAGAAAUAUUGGUAAUUACGACACAUGGAUUCUGGUUUCAACUUGCUCUUUGAACUGGGGAAAUGUACUUCACUUUGACUAUACCAUUUUCCCACCUGAAAUAAAUGAGUGUGGCACCAGAUCACUUAGCCUCAAGCCUUGAUGUACAUCAGAGUUAUUUGAGGCAAUGUGUUAAAAUGCACAAUCCAGGGCUCUACCCUGCAGAGAAUGAUUCAGAUGUCAGAAGGAGCAGUGUUCUAGGCUAUUCUGGUGCCUGGGCCCUCGGAACACACUUUGAGGAACUGUGAACUGAAUGAUACUUCACACUUCCCCUCUGUGGUUCUGGCACUCUUAAACACAGCACAGUCUCCAGCUUUAAUACUCAGCCUUCUGUAGAAGUCAGAAUAUGGUGUAGCCUCCUCAUUCAACCUUUAAGUCUUAGGGAGCUUUCCAUGGUUCUGAAGUCAGUUCCUGGGCUCUGUGAGUGAGCAGCUCUGGGUGGCACCUUCUGGGUGGCUGUUCCUUCACAAAGGGAGAUCAAAUCAACUGUAAGGUCUCUUCCUCCUGUGCUGAAGUUGUCUCAGCCUUCCCUCUGCUUGGUGAAAGAAGAAAGCUGCGUUCUUGUUUCCUUGCCAAGUUGCCAGUGCCCUGGUUUCCAUGACAGCAGAGAAGAAUGGAAGCCAGGCUCUCACCUCAAAGGAAUUAAAGCCCACCCUCUUGGAGAACAAACAAUGAUUCCAAGAGAGUUCUGGAAAUUGGAGACUGUUUGUUUUGAUUCAUCCAGCUGCACAGUAUGGGGCUCUAGGAAGGAGAAGACUUAUGGUGAACCGGCUCUCAGUGCCUCCCUGGAGAAGACUCAGAAACCAUCCCUACAUGGUCUGGAGUGGAGAGACCUUAUGUUUGCAUAGAGUAAAAGACAAAAAGCCCCACCAAACCUAAUCAGGACAAGUAAUCAAAACUAAAUUAAAUCCACCUGCUAAGGAGGAGCUCCACUGGCUCCGCCAAGUGAUUAGGAUUGAAUAGAAAUAUCUGUUUUCUUUUGCCCCCUCUUCAACCUUUCACCAGUGUUGUUUUUUUCCCCUCUGAAAGUAAAGAGAAGUCUUAACAAGCGCCUCGGUGAAUGAUGUGGAGUUCUCUUGGAGUUUUCAAUUUGGCUGUAUUGAUUUAUAAGGUCUUUUCAAUUACUGAAUUCUUCUUGCUGGCAGUCAUAGGGCCCAGUACGUGAGAAUCAUGCUCUAUUGAUCCCAGGUACUUAGAAAGAGGGCAUGUAUGUGUCCGCUUUAGAUUGAUGAAGUUGCAAAUAAUGAAGCUUCCCACACAACAUUUAUUAAAUGAAAAUCUAGAAUUCAUUAACACAAGAACUUGUCUUGUAUUAGAAAGGAAGUGGGGGGGGUGUUGAGAAAAAAUAGGGACUAGAGUAGUUACCAUGAACAUAAUAUAUGAAGCAAUUUGAAUUCAAGGGAAGGCAAUUUGGAAUCUUAUUAAAUUUUCUUCUCUCCUUUUAUUGUGCAAGCAUGGUUGGGUGGCUUCUGGGGAGUCAUCGAUCAAAACACAGGUACAUGGGGAGGUGGUGACUAGAAAGAGACCGGUUACCAAAUCCUUGCCUUAGUUAAAAUGGGGUUGCUAUUCAGUGCCUAGUACCUGGGCCAAAUCAAGAGCUCAAUAAAUACAAAUGGUAAACAAUGAACGAAUGAAUA